AAGUGUGUGUAUUUAACAAAUGUUAGCAAUUUCCUUCGUGGUACUUACUGUCGCAGUGUCCGAUUCUUAUGGAAUAACUUGGAAUGAUAACUGGGCUCUAGGCUGCGAUUUUCGAGGAAAUGACUUAAAGGAUGUAAAAAUGAGAGGAGAAGAUUGCGGUGGACGAUGUGCUUCUACGCAAGGCUGCACUCACUUCACAUGGACUGACUAUGAUGGAGGAACUUGUUGGAUGAAGAAAAAUUCCGUGUCUAAGAUGAUGCUUUCGAAAGUACUGACAAAUCGGCUGUGUGUGGAAUUGUAGAAAACAGCGAUCGUGGUUCUUCUAACGAGCAAUGGAACCGAGCAGAUCUCACAAAUUUCGAGUCAUAUCCAGAUCCAAAUAGUGACGAAUGUAUAAAUUACAAUGGUUGCUUAUGGGCUGGGUAUUUUGCAUUUGUGUCGGGAAGCAAUCAGAAUCUUGGGUUAAAGCCAACAAUAUAAUAGCCAUACAUUCAAAGGAUGCUUC